rnacentral:rRNA from 1 species
GACGAACGCUGGCGGCGUGCUUAACACAUGCAAGUCGAACGGAAAGGCCCUGCUUUUGUGGGGCGCUCGAGUGGCGAACGGGUGAGUAAAACGUGAGUAAACUGCCCUUGACUUUGGGGUAACUUCAGGAAACUGGGGCUCAUACAGGAUAGAAGCUCCUGCUGCAUGGUGGGGGUUGGAAAAUUUCGGCGGUUGGGGAUGGACUCGCGGCUUAUCCGCUUGAUUGUGGGGUAGUGGCUUACCAAGGCUUCGACGGGUAGCCGGCCUGAGAGGGGAGCCGGCGACAUUGGGACUGAGAGACGGCCCAGACUCCAACGUGAGGCAGCAGUGGGGAAUAUGGCACAAUGGGCGGAAGCCAGAUGCAGCAACGCCGCGUGCGGGAUGACGGCCUUCGGGUGGUAAACCGCUUUCGCCUUUGACGAAGCGUGAGUGACGCUAAUGAGUAAAGAAGCACCGGCUAACUACGUG